GACGAACGCUGGCGGCGGGCUUAACACAUGCAAGUCGAACGGAAAGGCGCUGCUUGUUUGUGGUGCUCGAGUGGCGAACGUGUGAGUAACCCGUGAGUAACCUUCCCUGUACUUUAUGAUAACUUCAAGAAACCGCUACUAAUGCCGGAGAGGAGCUGCUGCUGCAUGGUGGGGGUUGGAACGUUUAGGCUGUUGGGGAUGGACUGGCGGCUUAUCAGCUUGUUGGUGGGGUAGUUGCUUACCAAGGGUUUGACGGGUAGCCGGCAUGAGAGGGUGAACGGCGACAUUGGGCCUGAGAUACGCAGCAGAGGCCUACGGGAGGCAGUAGGCGGGAAUAUUGCCCAAUGGGCGGACGUCUGAGGAAGAAAUGCUGCGUGUGUGAUGCAGGUCUUGGUGUUGUAAACCGCAUUAGGUUGUGACGAAGCGUGAGUGACGUUAAUGGCUAAAGAAGCACCGGCUAACUACGUG
rnacentral:rRNA from 1 species